rnacentral:misc_RNA from 1 species
GAUGAAGAACGUAGCUAAAUGCGAUAAGUAAUGUGAAUUGCAGAAUUCAGUGAAUCAUCGAAUCUUUGAACGCACAUUGCGCCCGCCAGUAUUCUGGCGGGCAUGCCUGUUCGAGCGUCAUUACAACCCUCAGGCCCCCGGGCCUGGCGUUGGGGAUCGGCAGAAGCCCCCUGUGGGCACACGCCGUCCCUCAAAUACAGUGGCGGUCCCGCCGCAGCUUCCAUUGCGUAGUAGCUAACACCUCGCAACUGGAGAGCGGCGCGGCCAUGCCGUAAAACACCCAACUUCUGAAUGUUGACCUCGAAUCAGGUAGGAAUACCCGCUGAACUUAAGCAUAUCAAUAAGCGGAGGA